ensembl:lncRNA
GGAAGCAGCGUUAUACCACACAGAUUAACUGUCUUAUAGACAGUGAUUCUGCAUAUUGGUCUCAUGCAAAGAAGCACCCAAGGAUAUUUGUUUUUUAGAGAAGGAAGUCGAGUAAUCAGAGGAAACAAGCCUGGUAAAACAAGACACUGAAUGAGUGAUGUUACUUUUACUGCAUUAGGACCUAACUUGUGCUGUCUUUGUGUGAUCGCUGUUGCUCCUUGGAACACUUUCUACAGAGACCCAUACUGCAAAUUCAGCCCUGGAAGAAGCAGUAGAGAUGCCUUCUGGACAGUUUCAUCUCUUCCUUGCAAGCCUGCUAUGAAGGAGCCUCGUGAGAGAAGUCACGCGCACAUAGUGGGAGUCUCUUCCGUUUCCCAUCACGUGCUGCUCAGAGCCUUUGCGUUGAACGUUCAGCCUAUGAUCCUUCCUGUGUGCUUCCCACUCCUGUGGCUUCUUCUCCGUCAACAGAUUCCAACUUGUCAGAACUCAUAAAGUGCACAUGUCACCCUCCACAUGCUUUGUGGUACCCCUGGUCUUGGUUACACCAAUUCUGAAGUGGAGUGCCCAACACGCCUGAUUCCUUGGCUUGAAGGAAAGAACACUGAAUCAGAAGCUAGAAAGCCUGGAUUCGUGUCCCAGGCCUGUGCCACACCACCUGGUGACCUAACAGGUUGUUUUACAACCAUGUUCUACUCUUUCUCUCCCUGAGUGAUAAAUGCAUUCUGAAUUAUACACCCAUAGAAUGUGUGCUCACCUACCCUUCUCCCUAGAUAAAGACUAUUAGUCAUUCAUUCUCACUGUGAAUCAGUUUAAUCAGAUUGUAAGUGGGUGUUGGACAGCAUUGCCAAAUGGAGAAGGCAGGCCUAGAAGAGGCCUAGGAGGAAAGGAAGCAAAGAGGCCAAGGGGAGUCUUUGAUAAGUACCACAGGACUGCACUGGCUUCUAGCAACAGGAAAGAGGAGUCAGGAGCCGGGAGAUCACUGGUCAAAAAAAACUACCUUUGCAAAAACACAGGAAUUUAUCAUGAAAACAAAGAGGUACUUUUGUGAGGUAGAGGACUGUUACCCUCCCUAAACUGAGUUUGAUGUAUUAAGGAGAGAAAGGGAAGAGGUCUCAGACCCUCCUCUAGUUCUUUAUUUUCUGAGAUCACAGAUGUAUCUCCUUGGAUUGUGUUCAGCCUAAAGUGGUUAAAAACACAGAAGUUUAUUUCUCAAAAGAACUUUAAAAGAAAGUCCAAGGCUGGUGUGACAGCUCCAUGGUCAUAGGGACUCAAGCUCCCUUCAACUUUCCGCUCUGCUAUUCUUAGGAUAGAGUCUUCAUCAGAUCAGAUCAGAUCAGUCGCUCAGUCUCGGACACACCUGAGUGACUGAACUGAACUGAACUGAGUAGUAGGUAUAGUCACAUUGAUGGGAAACAGAUCUCCAGAGCUUUUCCAUCUUCGAAAACUAAAACUCUAUUCCAUCAGGGAGCAAGAAAUUUUCCUCUGCCUUUGUAGGUUCUUCUGGCUGGCCUAAGAAUAAAAUUGACAUGAGACAGAUUAAUUGGAGAAAAUCAAACAAAGUUUUGAUAACAUGGAUAUAUAGGAGAGACCCAGAGAAACUAAGUCACCACCAAAAUGGUCUCUGCCCUCACCUUGAAUGCCAUCUUCAGCUAAUGACAAAAGAGCAUGUUGGGUGUAGUGGUUUGGGAUUUCAAAGGGGAGGGAGGCAAUUCAUACUGAAGAUGGAACCAUCAGCAAAUGCUUAAUAAACAGUGUUUGCUGGGCCAGGCAGAGACGAUGGGAUACACAGUAGAUGGGUAUCUCUAGGCCCUGCUAAGUCUCCUUCAUCACAUCCCAUGCAAGUUCUUUGCCAAGUUCUCGGGUGAUCUCUGUAUUUGGGGAACAGGCCCUCUAUCUAAGUUCUUUUAGGCAAGUCAGAGGUUCUUCCUGAGUCUUGGGCCUUGGUUGUUUUCAGCUCAAAAUAAUUGAAGAGACACGUUUUAGGAUAGCAAAUUUUGCUCAUUAAAUAACAACUCCCAGGACCUCCCUGGUGGUCCAGUGGCUAAGACUCCGAGCUCCCAAUGCAGGGGGACUGGGUUUCGAUCCCUGACCAGGGAACUAGAUCCCACGUGCUGCAUCUAAGAUCCUGCGUGCCACAAUGAGACCUGGCACAGCCACAUAAAUAUCUAAACAGAAAAGCAACCCCCAACUCACAGUUCCCUAUUUUUCCCUCCCUUCAGUUCCUGGAAACCACAUUCUACUUUUUGUUUCUAUGAAUUUGACUAGACAAAUAUCUCAUAAAUGAAAUCACAUUAUAUUUGUCUUUCGUGACUGGCUUAUUUCACUUAACAUAAUAUCCUCGAGGUUCAUCCAUGUUGUAGCAUGUGACAGGAUUCCCUUCCUUUCUAAGCCUGAAUAAUAUUUCACUGUAUGUAGAGACCACAUUUUAUGAAUCCUUUCAUACAUCAACGGACAUUUGUGUUGCUUCCGCCUCUGGGCUAUCGUGCAUAAUAUUGUGAUGAAUGCAGGUAUAUAGGUAUCUCUUUGAAACCCAGCUUUCAACCCUUUUGGAUAAAUAUCCAGAAGUGGGAUUGCUGGGUCAUGUGAUAGUUCUAUUUCUAACUUCUUGUGGAACUUCCUUACUGUUUUUUCCUCUUUCAGUUGUAACCCAG